rnacentral:misc_RNA from 1 species
UUAAGUUCAGCGGGUAUUCCUACCUGAUCCGAGGUCAACCUUAAAAAUGGGGUGUUUAACGGCAAAGCCCCACCAGACGCCCUAAGCGAGAAGAAUUACUGCGCUCGGAGUCGUAGCGAGUCCGCCACUGAGUUUAGGGACUACUUGACGUAGAACCCCAACACCAAGCCGGGGCUUGAGGGUUGAAAUGACGCUCGAAC